rnacentral:rRNA from 1 species
UACGAAGGUGGCUAGCGUUGUUCGGAAUCACUGGGCGUAAAGCGCGCGCAGGUGGCUUUUCAAGUUAGGAGUGAAAGCCUGGGGCUCAACCCCAGAACUGCUCUUAAGACUGAGUAGCUAGAGUGUGGGAGAGGAUAGCGGAAUUCCGUGUGUAGAGGUGAAAUUCGUAGAUAUACGGAGGAACACCAAUGGCGAAGGCAGCUAUCUGGAACACAACUGACACUGAGGCGCGAAAGUGUGGGGAUCAAACAGG